rnacentral:rRNA from 1 species
GACGAACGCUGGCGGCGUGCUUAACACAUGCAAGUCGAACGGAAAGGCCCUGCUUGCAGGGUACUCGAGUGGCGAGCGGGUGAGUAACACGUGGGUGAUCUGCCCUGCACUUCGGGAUAAGCCUGGGAAACUGGGUCUAAUACCGGAUAGGAGCCAUUUUUAGUGUGAUGGUUGGAAAGUUUUUUCGGUGUAGGAUGAGCUCGCGGCCUAUCAGCUUGUUGGUGGGGUAAUGGCCUACCAAGGCGGCGACGGGUAGCCGGCCUGAGAGGGUGGACGGCCACAUUGGGACUGAGAUACGGCCCAGACUCCUGCGGGAGGCAGCAGUGGGGAAUAUUGCACAAUGGGCGCAAGCCUGAUGCAGCGACGCCGCGUGGGGGAUGACGGCCUUCGGGUUGUAAACUCCUUUCGCUAGGGACGAAGCUUUUUGUGACGGUACCUAGAUAAGAAGCACCGGCUAACUACGUG